UGAGCAAUCUGCCCUUCUCUUCGGAAUAAGCGUUGGAAACGACGUCUAAUGCCGAAUACGACCUCCUUUCACAUGAUCGGAGGUGGAAAGCUCCGGCGGAGAAGGAUGAGCUCGCGGCCUAUCAGCUAGUUGGUGUGGGUAAUGGCUCACCAAGGCGACGACGGGUAGCCGGCCUGAGAGGGUGACCGGCCACACGUGGGACUGAGACACGGCCCAGACUCCUACGAGGA
rnacentral:rRNA from 1 species